CACACACACACGUGUCCGUCUCUGUUCUUCUGGGCUCCCUAGCCACAAUAGAAUUCACUGUGUGUGUUUUUAAUCAUGGUUUUCUGUGAGUUUGUUUAUUCUUUGUUUAUUUCUGUCGUCUGUGUCUCAGCUCCACCACCAGGGCCUCCUCCAUCCACCUCUAACCCCCCCACCCAUCUACAGGAAUACACAACCAGCAGCACUCCAACUCAACCCUCUACAGGUGUUAUUGUCCCCAUGGUGUGUGGAGUGUCUCUAGCUGUUCUGGUUUCCUGUGUGCUGCUGUUUCUGGUGAUUCUCUACAGGAAGAGAAGUGUUGAUGCACCAGUACAGGGUGAGACACUAAUACAAAUAGAGUUAGCAAUGCCCCUCUAAAAUAUAAACGCUAAUAUUCUGGUACGAUAGAAAAUAAAUAUCUUUGCAGUAUCA
rnacentral:lncRNA from 1 species